rnacentral:rRNA from 1 species
AUUGAACGCUGGCGGCAUGCCUUACACAUGCAAGUCGAACGGCAGCACGGGUGCCUGCACCUGGUGGCGAGUGGCGAACGGGUGAGUAAUACAUCGGAACGUACCUUAUCGUGGGGGAUAACGCAGCGAAAGCUGUGCUAAUACCGCAUACGCCCUGAGGGGGAAAGCGGGGGAUCGCAAGACCUCGCGCGAUUAGAGCGGCCGAUGCCUUGUUAGCUUGUUGUGGGGUAAAAGCCCACCAAGGCGACGAUCAGUAGCUGGUCUGAGGGGACGAUCAGGCGCACUGGGACUAAGACACGGCACAGACGCCUACGGGGGGCAGCAGUGAGGAAUUUUGGACAAUGGCGGCAACCAUGAUCCAGCAAUGCCGCGUGAGUGAAGAAGGCCUUCGGGUUGUAAAGCUCUUUUGUCAGAGAAGAAACACCGGCUCUAACACAGUCCGGGAAUGACGGUACCUGAAGAAUAAGCACCGGCUAACUACGUGCCAGCAGCCGCGGUAA